AUUGAACGCUAGCGGCAGGCUUUACACAUGCAAGUCGAACGAGUGGCGGACGGGUGAGUAAUAUCUCGGAACGUGCCCGAUAGAAGGGGAUAACUACUGGAAACAGUAGCUAAUACCGCAUACUAUCGGAUGUGCCCAUAUGGGAUUAGCUAGUUGGUGGGGUAACGGCUCACCAAGGCGACGAUCCCUAGCUGGUCUGAGAGGAUGAUCAGCCACACUGGGACUGAGACACGGACCAGACUCCUACGGGAGGCAGCAGGGGGGAAUAUUGCACAAUGGGCGCAAGCCUGAGGCAGCCAUGCCGCGUGUAUGAAGAAGGCCUUCGGGUUGUAAAGUACUUGCAGCGGGGAGGCGUUACCGACAGAAGAAGCACCGGCUAACUCCGUGCCAGCAGCCGCGGUAAUAC
rnacentral:rRNA from 1 species